UGGGUAACCUGCCUCAAAGAGGGGAAUAGCCUCCCGAAAGGGAGAUUAAUACCGCAUAAUAUGUUUAGGUCGCAUGACUUUAACAUCAAAGGAUUUUCUUUUAGAAAUUCCACUUUGAGAUGGACCCGCGGCGCAUUAGCUAGUUGGUGAGGUAAUGGCUCACCAAGGCGACGAUCGUUAGCUGGUCUGAGAGGACGAUCAGCCACACUGGGACUGAGACACGGCCAGAUCC
rnacentral:rRNA from 1 species